rnacentral:rRNA from 1 species
AUGAACGCUGGCGGCGUGCCUAAUCCAUGCAAGUCGCGCGAACAGACGAGGAGCUUGCUCCUCUGACGUUAGCGGCGGACGGGUGAGUAACACGUGGAUAACCUACCUAUAAGACUGGGAUAACUUCGGGAAACCGGAGCUAAUACCGGAUAAUAUAUUGAACCGCAUGGUUCAAUAGUGAAAGACGGUUUUGCUGUCACUUAUAGAUGGAUCCGCGCCGCAUUAGCUAGUUGGUAAGGUAACGGCUUACCAAGGCAACGAUGCGUAGCCGACCUGAGAGGGUGAUCGGCCACACUGGAACUGAGACACGGUCCAGACUCCUACGGGAGGCAGCAGUAGGGAAUCUUCCGCAAUGGGCGAAAGCUUGACGGAGCAACGCCGCGUGAGUGAUGAAGGUCUUCGGAUCGUAAAACUCUGUUAUUAGGGAAGAACAAAUGUGUAAGUAACUAUGCACGUCUUGACGGUACCUAAUCAGAAAGCCACGGCUAACUACGUG